rnacentral:rRNA from 1 species
UACGGAGGGUGCAAGCGUUAUCCGGAUUCACUGGGUUUAAAGGGUGCGUAGGUGGGUUGGUAAGUCAGUGGUGAAAUCUCCGGGCUUAACCUGGAAACUGCCAUUGAUACUAUCAAUCUUGAAUACCUUGGAGGUGAGCGGAAUAUGUCAUGUAGCGGUGAAAUGCUUAGAUAUGACAUAGAACACCAAUUGCGAAGGCAGCUCACUACACGGUCAUUGACACUAAGGCACGAAAGCGUGGGGAUCAAACAGG